CCUACGGGCUGCAGAAGUGAGGAAUAUUGGUCAAUGGACGAGAGUCUGAACCAGCCAAGUAGCGUGAAGGAUGACUGCCCUAUGGGUUGUAAACUUCUUUUAUAUGGGAAUAAAACGUUCCACGUGUGGGAUUUUGUAUGUACCAUAUGAAUAAGGAUCGGCUAACUCCGUGCCAGCAGCCGCGGUAAUACGGAGGAUCCGAGCGUUAUCCGGAUUUAUUGGGUUUAAAGGGAGCGUAGGUGGAUUGUUAAGUCAGUUGUGAAAGUUUGCGGCUCAACCGUAAAAUUGCAGUUGAAACUGGCAGUCUUGAGUACAGUAGAGGUGGGCGGAAUUCGUGGUGUAGCGGUGAAAUGCUUAGAUAUCACGAAGAACUCCGAUUGCGAAGGCAGUUCACUGGACUGCAACUGACACUGAGGCUCGAAAGUGUGGGUAUCAAACAGGAUUAGAUACCCCAGUAGUC
rnacentral:rRNA from 1 species